UACGGGGGGUGCGAGCGUUAAUCGGAAUGACUGGGCGUAAAGCGUGCGUAGGCGGUGUAAUCAGUCAGCCGUGAAAGCCCCGGGCUUAACCUGGGAAUGGCGGUUGAGACGGUUAAACUAGAGUGGGCUAGAGGACUGUGGAACUCCCGGUGUAGCGGUGAAAUGCGUAGAGAUCGGGAAGAACACCGAUGGCGAAGGCAGCAGUCUGGGGCCACACUGACGCUGAGGCACGACGGCGUGGGGAGCAAACAGG
rnacentral:rRNA from 1 species